rnacentral:rRNA from 1 species
GAUGAACGCUGGCGGCGUGCCUAAUACAUGCAAGUCGAGCGAACAGAUAAGGAGCUUGCUCCUUUGACGUUAGCGGCGGACGGGUGAGUUACACGUGGAUAACCUACCUAUAAGACUGGGAUAACUUCGGGAAACCGGGGCUAAUACCGGAUAACAUAUUGAACCGCAUGGUUCAAUAGUGAAAGGCGGCUUUGCUGUCACUUAUAGAUGGAUCCGCGCCGUAUUAGCUAGUUGGUAAGGUAACGGCUUACCAAGGCAACGAUACGUAGCCGACCUGAGAGGGUGAUCGGCCACACUGGAACUGAGACACGGUCCAGACUCCUACGGGAGGCAGCAGUAGGGAAUCUUCCGCAAUGGGCGAAAGCCUGACGGAGCAACGCCGCGUGAGUGAUGAAGGUCUUCGGAUCGUAAAACUCUGUUAUCAGGGAAGAACAAAUGUGUAAGUAACUGUGCACAUCUUGACGGUACCUGAUCAGAAAGCCACUGCUAACUACGUG